GUGCUCGCUUCGGCAGCACAUAUACUAAAAGAAAAUUGGAACGAUACAGAGAUUAGCAUGGACCCUGCACAAGGAUGACACGCAAAUUCUUGAAGUGUACCAUUUAAAA